rnacentral:lncRNA from 7 species
UGCUGUGACCUAGAUGUUCCAAGAAUAAGAGCAUGCAGUUGAGAUCUUGUUAUUUUCAAGGUUCCCAAAGGACCUAUUAACAGCAGACUUUUAUGGAACGUGGUUAAUGGUUAAACUGGUGAAAAUAACUGCACAAGUUAUACUUACCAUAGUGUUUGUGACCUAAUCACCUCUCUUAAUGUUCAACUGGAAGUGAUAAUAAAGACAGAGUUCAAAACCCAACUGAGAUGAAGGGAUCCUUGGAUAUUUGUCACACGAGAACAAAAGGAAGUCCCUUGUUCUGAGGUGUACAGCAAAAUGCAUGAGACGAGUUAAAGUGCAUCAGGUGAAGCUGGACUGAACAGGAAUCAAGGAUCACAGAGAAAACGUGCUUGAGCCAAACUCAGCUGAAGCCUAGAUCAAUCCAAAUAACUUCUUUCAAACAUGGCUUUCAAGAUAAGAAGAGAAAUAUGGUAUUGAUUUGCCUAGUAAAAGGGACACCCUCAAACACGCGGAAUCCAUCUCUGCUUGUCACUCAGUGCUGCUCUGCCUUUUGGACAAGGCUGCUUGUAUGUGUGAAGUUAUUCAGCAAAAACAUAUUGCCAAGCCUGAAGAUUAGAGCCAGCUUCAGAAAGCCAUUUAACAAAGAGCUGGAAAGAAGCAGCAUCUCUACAUGGACUUAUCAGGAAGCUUAUGCAUCAGAUACUCAAUGCAAGUGCUAAGCAAGGAGGCAGUGUUGACUGAACAGCCACAGUAAGCACUGUAGGGAAAAACCUGCAGCUGAGGCUGGAUACUUUGUUCUGGUAUCUGAGUUCAAGGAGUGGAUACACUGAAAGAACAUCAGAGAAAAUUACUCAGGUUUCCAGCUGAAAUAUUGCUCAGAAGAUGGAAUGUCACUACAAAUCCUGGUCUCUAAUCAGCGCUCUUUUUUCUCUCUCACUUGAAUAAUUUAGUUACUAAGAAAUUAAGUUUAAUUUAACAUGCAGUUUGCCUAAAAUCCUCCUUGCUUUAUUUUCUUUCUUAAGAUAGAUAUGUGCAGAGGCUGAGGGCAUUGGGUUGCAUAUCCAAGUAUAAUAUGAGGUACCCUAAUCAAACUUACUGAUAUGAUGAUCCGUGCUAGUAACUGACAUUUCAAACUUUCAGAACAUCUUAAAACUUUCUCUGCUAUCUGCAGUUUCCUGCAGAAAGAAAAAGCCAAGGGUUCCAACUCACCAUUAGGUGGUGCCCCUGUCAUUCAUUU